UGCCAGCCGCCGCGGUAAUACGGAGGGGGCAAGCGUUGUUCGGAUUUAUUGGGUGUAAAGGGUGUGUAGGCGGCAUAAUAAGUCAGAUGUGAAAUCUCUGGGCUCAACCCAGAAACUGCAUUUGAUACUGUUAAGCUAGAGUACCAAAGAGGCAUAUGGAAUUCUUGGUGUAGGAGUGAAAUCCGCAGAUAUCAAGAAGAACACCAGUAGCGAAGGCGAUAUGCUGGGUGGAUACUGACGCUGAAACACGAAAGCAAGGGUAGCGAACGGGAUUAGAUA
rnacentral:rRNA from 1 species